rnacentral:rRNA from 1 species
GACGAACGCUGGCGGCGUGCCUAAUACAUGCAAGUUGAGCGCUGAAGGUUGGUACUUGUACCAACUGGAUGAGCAGCGAACGGGUGAGUAACGCGUGGGGAAUCUGCCUUUGAGCGGGGGACAACAUUUGGAAACGAAUGCUAAUACCGCAUAAAAACUUUAAACACAAGUUUUAAGUUUGAAAGAUGCAAUUGCAUCACUCAAAGAUGAUCCCGCGUUGUAUUAGCUAGUUGGUGAGGUAAAGGCUCACCAAGGCGAUGAUACAUAGCCGACCUGAGAGGGUGAUCGGCCACAUUGGGACUGAGACACGGCCCAAACCCCUACGGGAGGCAGCAGUAGGGAAUCUUCGGCAAUGGACGAAAGUCUGACCGAGCAACGCCGCGUGAGUGAAGAAGGGUUUCGGAUCGUAAAACUCUGUUGGUAGAGAAGAACGUUGGUGAGAGUGGAAAGCUCAUCAAGUGACGGUAACUACACAGAAAGGGACGGCUAACUACGUG